UAGCCGUAAACGAAUACUCGCUAGGUGUCGGCCACGGUGCGACCGUUGUCGGUGCCGUAGGGAAGCCGUGAAGCGAGCCACCUGGGAAGUACGGCCGCAAGGCUGAAACUUAAAGGAAUUGGCGGGGGGAGCACAACAACGGGUGGAGCUUGCGGUUUAAUUGGAUUCAACGCCGGAAAUCUUACCGGGACCGACAGCAACAUGAAGGCCAAGCUGAAGACUUUGCCGGAUUAGCUGAGAGGUGGUGCAUGGCGUAGACGUCU
rnacentral:rRNA from 1 species